AUAAAAAAAAAUAUUUCCCUUAGGGCAUUCUCUAUUCACCUUGAAGCUUUCUAGCCGGCCACAAUCUCACUGUCCAUAUUUCCCUUUGACUGUGGUUCCUUAAGUGAAGAUCCUUACUUCGCUGUCCAUAAGCGGAUCUGUGCUUUAUCAGAGAACCAGUCCCGGGCGACGAAGCUAUGAGAAUAUGGCCUUUUGUUAUAGAUCCUCAAAGGCAAGAAAAUCCGCGACAGUGAAAAUGACAAUGAGGAGGAGAACCAGCAAGCAAAACAACAUUAUCACUAGCUAUUGUUGAUAGAAAUAUCUUCAAGCGUAAGAAUUUUAAGUUCCACCAAAGGAUUAGGCGGCAGAGAUCAAGACCCUAUCAUUCUCAAGAAUUCAGAAGCCCUGGAGAAGAUGAAGCUGAAGCAAUUAGAAGUUUGUUGCAUGAUUUUGAACAGUUCUCCAAUUCUAAAGUGGAAUUGGAGCAAUACCCAACUGGUCUGCGCAUUGCUUCUCGCAUGCUUUUCACUCGAAUUCAUAUGAAGACAUAGCUGAUAAGGCUGUUGUGGAUUUUGGUUGUGGAUGUGGUACUUUAAUUGCUGCUGCUGCUCUUCUAGAUGCACCGUGAGUAUAUCAUCAUCUUUACUCUUCUCUUAUCAAUACAUCUAUUCUUUUUUAAUGGUUUAAUCUCUCUAUUGCUUCAAAACAGUUGUGUUAUUGGAUUCGAUAUCGACCCUCCGUGAACUUAAUGACUAACUUGUGAUUUAUUCUCUUUCAGAUGGAGAUAUCCAUAUUCAGUGUUUUAUAUGUUCUUUGAGCAAUAUCUUGGUAAAUCUUCCAGUCCCAGAUCUUUGUUCUACUUACUAGUUGGUACUAGUUUUUGAGCAAUAUCUUGAUAUUAGUGUUUGACCUCACAAUAAAACGACACUGAAUGUUCCAUCUUGUGAUUUUGAUUUUUGUAUAAACUUUCAUGUAGUUGAACUAUUUAUGUAAAAUUACAGUUAUCUAUCUUUUGAUGAUCUAUGGAAUCAAACAAGUUUUGAAUGUAUAUUGAUAUAAUUUUAGUAGCCAGAUAUGCUUAUUUUGGAGAUGGUGGAAUCUGGUUAGUAGUUCGUUGUUGAGAUUUGCUUAUUUGGGUUUAGAGAAAGCUAACUCAUUUCUGAAUCUAUGUGUUCUUUGUCAUAAUUUCAAAUGGCAGGUGUUGUAUCUUGGACUUGUUUGUUUGUUUUUUUUUUUUGAAUUGAGUGGGUGAUGAUUCAGUUUUUGGUUUUUGCUCGUAAACUAGUAUACUUGCAGGGUCUACUGAGACCAACCGACUCCUCAAGACCACUACAUCAUUAUCUACAACAAGUGGUAAUGCUUUGAUUCUUCAUCCUUGAUCUUAUGUCUUCUGGUGAAGAUGCUUUUGAGAGUAUGAAGAGUUGACGUUUCUUCUUCUCCUUAAUCUCUUUAGCUUUUGGUUUUUGUUCUAAUUCUUUCUCUCUGUUCCUUAGAGUUUAUUCAUUUUCUCAAAUUUUUUUGGAAGAAAAGAAGGAUGGUUGCUCAGAAGAUAAGAACCCAUACGACUGAAGCUGAUGGUAGAAAGAAGAAGUUAUUUUAAGCUCUGGUUUGUGUCCUUAGAGAAAUUACAGUAGUUAUGAUGUCAUUUGAUACCUUGUACGUUGAAAGAUGAACUGCUUUGUAAAAUUACAAUUAUGUAUCUUUUGAUGAUUUAUGGAAAGAAACAUGCUUUUAA